UGGGAACGUGCCUUUUGGUUCGGAACAACCCAGGGAAACUUGGGCUAAUACCGGAUAAGCCCUUACGGGGAAAGAUUUAUCGCCAAAAGAUCGGCCCGCGUCUGAUUAGCUAGUUGGUGGGUAAUGGCCCACCAAGGCUACGAUCAGUAGCUGGUCUGAGAGGAUGAUCAGCCACAUUGGGACUGAGACACGACCCAAACUCCUACGGGAGGCAG
rnacentral:rRNA from 1 species